CCUUAUCAAGAGAGGCGGAGGGACAGGCCCUGUGAUGCCCGGCAACCUAGGGAGAGGACGGAAUGCGUUCUCCCAAAAGGUGCCAAUUCCUGCGGUGAAACACCGGAAGAUGAGG
rnacentral:ncRNA from 1 species